rnacentral:rRNA from 1 species
AACGAACGCUGGCGGCGUGCCUAACACAUGCAAGUCGAGCGAGAAAGUCCCGGCAACGGGAUGAGUACAGCGGCGAACGGGUGAGUAACGCGUGGGUAAUCUACCCUCCAGCUCGGGAUAACCUGCCGAAAGGUGGGCUAAUACCGGAUGAUGUUCCCGUGGGGAUCCUGCGGGAAGCAAAGGGGGCGAGCGUAAGCAGCUCUCACUGGAGGAGGAGCCUGCGUCCGANAGUCUAGUUGGUGGGGUAAUGGCCUACCAAGGCGACGAUCGGUAGCCGGCCUGAGAGGGCGACCGGCCACACUGGAACUGAGACACGGUCCAGACUCCUACGGGAGGCAGCAGUGGGGAAUCUUGCGCAAUGGGCGAAAGCCUGACGCAGCGACGCCGCGUGGGCG